GCUAACGGCUGAACUGGCAACUUGGAGAAGUGGCAAGUCUUCCAGUAUGGGGAGCAAACAGCUAUGGGUCAAGCCCGAUACCUUUAAGAGAAGUCUUAUUGUGAGGGCGAGUUGUAUAACACCAUAGGGCUGGCCGCCCCAUAUGAAAAGAUUUUAUUAGAAUUGAAUGAAACUUUGUUUAUAUAUUGAUAAUGACAGUAUAUAUAUCGUGUCUUGACUAAUUGCGUGCCAGCAGUCGCGGUAAUACGUAAGAGACUAGUGUUAUUCAUCUUAAUUAGGUUUAAAGGGUACCCAGACGGUCUAUAUAGCUUAUAAAAUGUUAGUAUAAGACUAGAGUUUUAUGUAAGAGGGCAGUACUUGAGGAGGAGAGAUGAAAUUUCGUGAUACCAAAGGGACUCUGUAAAGGCGAAGGCAGCCCUCUAUGUAAAAACUGACGUUGAAGGACGAAGGCACAGAGAACAAACAGGAUUAGAUACCCAAGUAGUCUUUGCAGUAAAUGAUGAAUGCCAUAGGUUAGAUAUAUAGUCUCCCUGAACAGUAUAUCUGGUCUAUAAAUGAAAGUGUAAGCAUUUCACCUCAAGAGUAAUGUGGCAACGCAGGAACUGAAAUCACUAGACCGUUUCUGACACCA
rnacentral:rRNA from 1 species